UGUGCGUCCAUAAGUCUGGAUGUCUAUUUACACGUGGUAGAGUAUUUUCCCCUUUUCUCUGAGCUGACACCAGCUUGCAUAUAGGAACACUUGGUGGAUUACAGCUGGUGACAGUUUGCUGCUGACUGGCCAUAGGAAAAAUAAUCAGCACCAACUAUGCGUUUUCCCUGGCCAGGGCCUCUGCCUUGGCUGUCCUCCUCGAUCAGUCAGGUGAACCCCAGGGCAGAACUGGGCACCCUGAAAUGCAAAAGGGUUUGUCCUGCAGUGAGCUUAGCGACUAAAGAGCUCCGAAGGGAACAAUGUCAGAGCUACUCGUUCUUGACACACGAGACACGGAAGCAGUUGUGUUUGCUUAACUGAAGGCCCGCCACCCGCUGCCUGGCUAACUGCAGCGUACGGAUAUGUGGGAAAGAUUCAGACAUGAUGAAAAGAGAAAGGCAAACGUGGGUCUACCUACAUGCUGCCACAGAGUACACAGAUUCUGAUCUUAGGGACACUGGUGCUGUAUGUGGGCCUGGCCUAAACAGAUCGCCAGGCAUCUGGACGGUGGCUGAAUGGGAGUGUCUGUGUAAAAUCGACCCUACUUUGCUAGACUCAAGGAGGAAACCACCAAAAUAAUUUGACUUUUACUUAGACCAUAUUGAAAACAGGACCUGAAGAGUGAAAGAAAACCUUUGACAUUAACCAUUGCUUCCUUUCAGCAGUACAUUGUCAUAAGAAUUGAGACAGUGUACUGGAAUAAGAACCAUCAUGUAGAUAGAAUGAACUUCUGGAGGUUGCACAAUAUGUUUGAAACUAUGGCACAUGCUGCCAUGUACCACCAAAGAGAGGAUGACCAGGAGGGCCCAUUGUGGACCUAGCAGUACCACUGCAAGUGUUUAAUGCCUUUGGGUUUCAUGGUUUUUGUUUACUUUGUUUUUAAUUUUUUAAAGAAUUUAUAAGAAUUUUUGCAU